GACGAACGCUGGCGGCGUGCUUAACACAUGCAAGUCGAGCGGUAAGGCCCUUUCGGGGGUACGACGAGCGGCGAACGGGUGAGUAACACGUGGGUGACCUGCCCUCAGUUCUGGGAUAAGCCUGGGAAACCGGGUCUAAUACUGGAUAUGACCUCAUGACGCAUGUUGUGGGGUGGAAAGCCUUGUGCGACUGAGGAUGGGCCCGCGGCCUAUCAGCUUGUUGGUGGGGUGANGGCCUACCAAGGCGACGACGGGUAGCCGGCCUGAGAGGGCGACCGGCCACACUGGGACUGAGACACGGCCCAGACUCCUACGGGAGGC
rnacentral:rRNA from 1 species